rnacentral:lncRNA from 1 species
GAUGAACCAAUAGAAGCUUACGUACAAAUGGGUCACCAUUUAAUUGGCAUAUUGUAGGUAUUCAGCACCGACACAAGCAUAUGGUCUCCCACUAACACCUAGUAGCAAAUAUAAGCCCACAUUGUUACAACAUAAUAAGCUCGAGUCACCAAAAAAAUCACAACCUUAUGUCAUCAUCUUAUGAUCAAACAUUUAUCUUUUCUUCGCCAAUAGUUUUGAUCCUAUCAUCUCUUGAAAUUAUAAAAUCAUCUCUGCCAAUCUUUUUGUCCUACCA